CCUACGGGCGGCAGCAGUGAGGAAUAUUGGUCAAUGGGCGCAAGCCUGAACCAGCCACGUCGCGUGAGGGAUGACGGUCCUAUGGAUUGUAAACCUCUUUUGUCGGGGAGCAAGGCCCGCCACGUGUGGCGGAAAGGCGAGUACCCGAUGCAAAAGCAUCGGCUAACUCCGUGCCAGCAGCCGCGGUAAUACCGAGGAUGCGAGCGGUACCCGGAUUUAUGGGGUUAAAGGGAUGCGUAGGGGGAAGGUUAAGUCACCGGUAAACUGUUUGUCCUCAACACCGGCCUGCAGUUGAAACUGGUCGUCUGGAGUGAGCGAGAGGUAUGCGGAAGGCGUGGUGUAGCGGUGAAAUGCAUAGAUAUCACGCAGAACUCCGAUUGCGAAGGCAGCAUACCGGCGGUCAACUGACGCUGAGGCACGAAAGCGUGGGGAUCGAACAGGAUUAGAUACCCGAGUAGUC
rnacentral:rRNA from 1 species